rnacentral:rRNA from 1 species
CCUACGGGAGGCUGCAGUGGGGAAUAUUGGACAAUGGGGGCAACCCUGAUCCAGCCAUGCCGCGUGUGUGAAGGAGGCCCUCGGGUUGUAAAGCACUUUCAGUGAGGAAGAACGCCUGGUGGUUAAUACCCAUCAGGAAAGACAUCACUCACAGAAGAAGCACCGGCUAACUCCGUGCCAGCAGCCGCGGUAAUACGGAGGGUGCGAGCGUUAAUCGGAAUUACUGGGCGUAAAGCGCGCGUAGGUGGCUUGAUAAGCCGGUUGUGAAAGCCCCGGGCUCAACCUGGGAACGGCAUCCGGAACUGUCAAGCUAGAGUGCAGGAGAGGAAGGUAGAAUUCCCGGUGUAGCGGUGAAAUGCGUAGAGAUCGGGAGGAAUACCAGUGGCGAAGGCGGCCUUCUGGACUGACACUGACACUGAGGUGCGAAAGCGUGGGUAGCAAACAGGAUUAGAUACCCCGGUAGUC